rnacentral:piRNA from 1 species
UGUGAUUAUCUGAUGGUACUUUGCAAAGCU